GUAGCUCAAGUGGUAGAGCACCCGGUUGAUUUCCGGGAGGGUGUGGGUUCAAAUCCCGCCGGA
rnacentral:tRNA from 1 species